AAUCGAAUAGCUAAAAUUUAUAUAGCCGUAUUACAUACACCAAGGAUACGAAUUGUAGUUGGAGAAAGCACAGAUACCACAGGAAAAUCUUAAGCUUAUCUCCAUCUUGAGCAUGUUGUAUAUGAUGUCAAUACGCUGGAAGUUCC